GGAGUGGAAAUUUAAUAUCAUGAUUUGCAAUUAUGAGUAUGGUGAUAACGCCCCACUUUA
rnacentral:tRNA from 1 species